rnacentral:lncRNA from 1 species
UGGAUGUCCUGGAACUCACUGUGUAGACCAGGCGGGCCUGUAACCCAGAGAUCCUUCUGCCUCUGCCUUCUGAGUGCUGACAUUAAAGGUGUGAGUUACCAUACGCAGCCAUUUUGGUCUUACUAUGUGAUGGAAUAGCGUGGAGGAUGCUGUUUUACGUCCUGGGACUAUAUGACCUUGAACAUACACGUUAAGAGCUCUGCGUAUGGCGUAUAGUAGUUUUAGUUAUUCCUGGGGUAGGGGGUCAUUAAGACCAUCUGUUAAAUGGUUUUAAAAUAUAGAUGGAAUUCAAAAUGAAGAAAUACCUUUGUUUUACAAUUCCAAUUAAGCUCUCCCCUUUCUUUUUCUAAAACAAACAAACAAACCAAAACAGAAAUUGAUCUCAAAGAAGCACAAAGAUUUUUUGCUCAAAAAUUCUCCUGCGGUGCCUCAGUAACAGGGGAGGAUGAGAUCAUCAUUCAGGGAGACUUCACAGAUGACAUCAUCGAUGUCAUUCAGGAAAAGUGGCCAGAGGUAGAUGAUGACAGCAUUGAAGACCUUGGAGAGGUGAAGAAGUGACUCAGAAGUCAUGUUUCUGACUGUGACCUGAGAGUUGACAUGGCCAACAGAGGAGAGGCCUUUCAGAAAUAUAUACAUAUGUACAUAUGUGUGUAUAUAUAUC